AUGAUUACAACAUCACCUCUGUCGCACUCACAUGCCCCGAUGAAGUCAUCGCCUCCUCCGUCACACUUCCAAAACACGGGCGUGCUCGCACCUCAUAUUUUACAGAAAGACAGUGCAGCGCCUUUUCUCCUUUUGUUAUCACCUCUUCGAGAAAUGAAGGACUUGACCCAAAUGGACAAGCUGUGCACUAUGAUCCCAGGAUCAACAAUCAAUAUGCUUGUACUUGUGCAAACAAAGAUUUGAAUCAGGAAAAAUGUGACUGGAACUGGUGAAA